UACGUAGGUGGCAAGCGUUGUCCGGAAUUAUUGGGCGUAAAGCGCGCGCAGGUGGUUUCUUAAGUCUGAUGUGAAAGCCCACGGCUCAACCGUGGAGGGUCAUUGGAAACUGGGGAACUUGAGUGCAGGAGAAGAAGAGUGGAAUUCCACGUGUAGCGGUGAAAUGCGUAGAGAUGUGGAGGAACACCAGUGGCGAAGGCGGUCUCCUGGGGCAUUCUUGACGCUGAGGCGCGAAAGCUGGGGGGAGCAAACGGG
rnacentral:rRNA from 1 species